rnacentral:rRNA from 1 species
AUGGUCAUCACGCUAUGGUCAAUAUGGUAUGUUAGGAGAAAGGCUAUUUAUGAAUCCAUAUUUCAGAGCCCCCAUCAUACAACAUCCUUUAUCAAUAAUUACAUUGACGAGUUGGAGCACAAUGUUGCUGAUCGAGUGCAGCAACAUACUGUUGCUGCACCACCACAACUGAACAGGUGGCUUCCUCCACCAAGUGGCAUCGCGAAGAUUAAUGUUGAUGGGGCUGUGGUACGAUCGCGGAGAGGAGGCGCAGUUGCUGCCCUUUGCCGCGACCAUGAGGGGCACUAUUUGGGCUCUUCGGUGAUGGUUUACCAUGGGAUCACGGACCCCCUAACCUUGGAGACGUUUGCAUGCCGUGAGGCUCUUGCUUUGCCGGAUGACCUGGGACAACAGAGAAUUUGCGUGGCAGCGGACUACCAAGAGGCGGUUAAUGAUAUCAAUGGGGGAACAGGAGGCCCCAAUGCUGCGUUGGUACAUGAAAUAAUGAACCAUUGUAAUAGUUUUAUCACUUGCACUUUUAUUUUCGAGCGUAGGAACUUUAAUUUUGAAGCUCACCAUCUCGCCAAGUUUGCUUGUAAUCUACAUAUAGGUAGACAUGUUUGGUUGGGCAUCUCCCAUGACCCCAAUCUUGUACCUAUGACAAUUACUUCUGAAUAA